rnacentral:rRNA from 1 species
UACGUAGGGUGCAAGCGUUAAUCGGAAUUACUGGGCGUAAAGCGUGCGCAGGCGGUUUUGUAAGACUGACGUGAAAUCCCCGGGCUCAACCUGGGAAUGGCGUUGGUGACUGCAAGGCUAGAGUUUGGCAGAGGGGGGUAGAAUUCCACGUGUAGCAGUGAAAUGCGUAGAUAUGUGGAGGAACACCGAUGGCGAAGGCAGCCCCCCUGGGUCAAAACUGACGCUCAUGCACGAAAGCGUGGGGAGCAAACAGG